rnacentral:lncRNA from 1 species
CCAGGUAUUCUGUCUUAGAUCUGCUUAUUUUGAAACCCUUAGAAUCGAGAGUCUGUCUCUAUACCUCUAACCUCUUAAUAACACCGACACUCAUCUCGUCUAUCAAGACUAUGUCAUCAGCAAAUAGCAUACACCAAGGCACAUCCCCUUGAAUAUGUCGGGUUAGAGCAUCCAUCACCAAGGCAAACAAGAGAGGGCUAA